ACUAGCAGCCAUAUCACUCUGCAACUCAGAACUAGCUAAGCAGGUGUGAGCCUGGUCAGUACCUGGAUGGGAGACCUCCUGGGAAAAACUAAGGUUUCUGCUGGAA
rnacentral:rRNA from 1 species